rfam:Dipodomys ordii contig_34598, whole genome shotgun sequence.
GGGAAUGUGGCUUAGUGGUAGAGUGCUUGCCUGGCAUGCAUGAAGCCCUGGGUUCAAUUCCUCAGUACCA